GUCCUCGAUCGCCUCCCACUUUGCCUUGAGGUCGGCGACGAGCUCGUCGCCGCUGGCCGAGGUGGAGGUGUCGUCGGAGGCGGCCCUGACGCGGAGCAGGGACAGUCGCGGCGCGUCCUGGAGGCGCAGCGGUUGGAGCACGCCGCCGCGGCGCGGCAGAAGCGCGGCGGAGCGUGGAGCGGCGGGGACGCGCGCGCCGGUGGCGCCGAGGAGCGCCACGGUGUACGCCGUGGCUGCGGCCAUGUCGGUGCCCUCCUCCUCCUCCUCCUCCUUAUCACCAAGUAAGCUAGAGGCAGCAGCUGAGCUCUCUUCG
rnacentral:misc_RNA from 1 species